rnacentral:rRNA from 1 species
GAUGAACGCUGGCGGCGUGCCUAAUACAUGCAAGUCGAGCGAACGGACGAGAAGCUUGCUUCUCUGAUGUUAGCGGCGGACGGGUGAGUAACACGUGGAUAACCUACCUAUAAGACUGGGAUAACUUCGGGAAACCGGAGCUAAUACCGGAUAAUAUUUUGAACCGCAUGGUUCAAAAGUGAAAGACGGUCUUGCUGUCACUUAUAGAUGGAUCCGCGCUGCAUUAGCUAGUUGGUAAGGUAACGGCUUACCAAGGCAACGAUGCAUAGCCGACCUGAGAGGGGGAUCGGCCACACGGGAACUGAGACACGGUCCAGACUCCUACGGGAGGCAGCAGUAGGGAAUCGUCCGCAAUGGGCGAAAGCCUGACGGAGCAACGCCGCGUGAGUGAUGAAGGUCUUCGGAUCGUAAAACUCUGUUAUUAGGGAAGAACAUAUGUGUAAGUAACUGUGCACAUCUUGACGGUACCGAAUCAGAAAGCCACGGCUAACUACGUG